rnacentral:tRNA from 1 species
UUAUAUUUGAUGUAAACUGCAUAUUAAAUUUUGAUUUUAAAGGAAUUACAGAAAAUAAUAAUAUAAG